ACUUGACUGGACCAAAUAGAACAACAAUAGUUUUGAAUAGUUUAGUCAGAGUCCGCCAGUCCGGUUUUAGCAUAACCAAACUAGUCUCCAACUCUUUAAUUUUAAAUUUCCGGUCUUUAACUCGAUUUUGAACAGGUAAACAACUUCGUAACCUUUUUUUUUUUUUUUUUUGAAAACAACCUCGUAACUCCUAAAUGUCAUUUCCUUUCCUUGAUUUCUAACAUUCCAAUAGGUUUUAAUAAAUUACACUUACCCUUUGACAUGACUAACACGCGACAUUUUUGUUUUUUUUUUCAUGAUUAAAAGCCAUUGGGGUUUAAUUAUGCCCGGUCUAUAUAUCUCGAGGGUUAGAACAGUCUUCUCUCAAAAUUGGUUCAAGAGAUGGUGGGGUUACUCACUUAAUUGGGGCUGGAAGCGUCAUAAGAUGAAGGAGAAAAAGGAGGGAAAUAAAAAGUAAUGGGAAUUGGUCUGCUAUUCCGUAAUUCUCAGCCUUCUGAAAAAUCUUCAACUGCGCAUCAAUUUGGUGUUUUCAUCAAAAAGUAAGAACAUGGGACAAAAUCAUAGUCCAGUCUUCCUCAAAUUUCCCACAUAACUUCUACUGGAAGCAUAUCAUGCAUUUAAAACCCACUACUGGAUACGUAUAUCAUGAGCUCCUUUUGUAAUGAAUCGACAAGGACAACACACACGGAUGGUAACUUAUUUUACUACAAAAGCUCGAGUUCUGGUGCCUCUUGAUAAGACUCCUGUCUUGAUAUAUCAUCGUACAAGGUAAGGAAGCGCACUUGGGUUGGGUGAGGCAUCUCACCCUCAAAGUAUCUCGAGCUCAAUCAGGCUUAUACAGUGAGAAUUAAGUUAGAGGAUCUCAUCUUCAUUCUUCAAAGAGUCUAUUGAGAGUUAAAGUCACAAGCUCUACUCUUAUAUAUCCAAGGGACCUAGAUGUAUUGUUGUCCAACUUUGUUUACAACUCCAGCACAUUUGGCGAGUUUGAGUAACAUAAGAUUGAGUAGUUAAUUUUAUCAUAAAUCUUUGAAUAGAGGGUGUGUAUCUUAAACUCGUAUAUUGACUCUAGGUUACAAGAAGGUAUUGUUUUGGGUAGAUUAUGUUGUUGUUCUACAUACUCUAAAGUACAAAGUAUUGAUUUUUUCUUUCUUGGACGAUCUAUGUUACUUAGGUUUUAUGUAAAAAAUACUACUGUAGAUAAAUUCUUAUUAUCAAGAUAAUAGCAGUCUUAAAACUGAAGAUUAAAAGCAUGAUGAGUGACAUUAUAAGCCAAAUUCUUGUUACUUACAACAUCAUUCCUUCAUGAACCCUUGUCGCCGCCUAAAGAAGUGUCUAAGCUGGCUGA